UCCCUGGAGGACUAGAGGUUAGGCAUCUGUGCUCUCACUACCCUGGCCCAGGUUUGAUUCCUGGCCAGUGAA